AUUGAACGCUGGCGGCAGGCCUGACACAUGCAAGUCGAGCGGUAGAGAGGUGCUUGCACCUCUUGAGAGCGGCGGACGGGUGAGUAAUGCCUAGGAAUCUGCCUGGUAGUGGGGGAUAACGUCCGGAAACGGACGCUAAUACCGCAUACGUCCUACGGGAGAAAGCAGGGGACCUUCGGGCCUUGCGCUAUCAGAUGAGCCUAGGUCGGAUUAGCUAGUUGGUGAGGUAAUGGCUCACCAAGGGGACGAUCCGUAACUGGUCUGAGAGGAUGAUCAGGCACACGGGAACAGAGACACGGCCCAGACUCCUACGGGAGGCAGCAGUGGGGAAUAUUGGACAAUGGGCGAAAGCCUGAUCCAGCCAUGCCGCGUGUGUGAAGAAGGUCUUCGGAUUGUAAAGCACUUUAAGUUGGGAGGAAGGGUACUUACCUAAUACGUGAGUAUUUUGACGUUACCGACAGAAUAAGCACCGGCUAACUCUGUGCCAGCCGCCGCCGUAACAC
rnacentral:rRNA from 1 species